CGGCAGCACGGGAGCAAUCCUGGUGGCGAGUGGCGAACGGGUGAGUAAUAUAUCGGAACGUGCCCAGUCGUGGGGGAUAACGUAGCGAAAGCUACGCUAAUACCGCAUACGAUCUAUGGAUGAAAGCGGGGGAUCGCAAGACCUCGCGCGAUUGGAGCGGCCGAUAUCAGAUUAGGUAGUUGGUGAGGUAAAGGCUCACCAAGCCGACGAUCUGUAGCUGGUCUGAGAGGACGACCAGCCACACUGGGACUGAGACACGGCCCAGACUCCUACGGGAGGCAGCAGUGGGGAAUUUUGGACAAUGGGCGCAAGCCUGAUCCAGCAAUGCCGCGUGCAGGAUGAAGGCCUUCGGGUUGUAAACUGCUUUUGUACGGAACGAAACGGUGAGCUCUAAUACAGUUUGCUAAUGACGGUACCGUAAGAAUAAGCACCGGCUAACUACGUGCCAGCAGCCGCGGUAAUACGUAGGGUGCGAGCGUUAAUCGGAAUUACUGGGCGUAAAGCGUGCGCAGGCGGUGAUGUAAGACAGAUGUGAAAUGCCCGGGCUCAACCUGGGACCUGCAUUUGUGACUGCAUCGCUAGAGUACGGUAGAGGGGGAUGGAAUUCCGCGUGUAGCAGUGAAAUGCGUAGAUAUGCGGAGGAACACCGAUGGCGAAGGCAAUCCCCUGGACCUGUACUGACGCUCAUGCACGAAAGCGUGGCGAUUA
rnacentral:rRNA from 1 species